GAUGAACGCUGGCGGCGUGCCUAAUACAUGCAAGUCGAGCGAACAGAUGAGAAGCUUGCUUCUCUGAUGUUAGCGGCGGACGGGUGAGUAACACGUGGGUAACCUACCUAUAAGACUGGGAUAACUCCGGGAAACCGGGGCUAAUACCGGAUAAUAUUUUGAACCGCAUGGUUCAAUAGUGAAAGACGGUUUCGGCUGUCACUUAUAGAUGGACCCGCGCCGUAUUAGCUAGUUGGUAAGGUAAUGGCUUACCAAGGCGACGAUACGUAGCCGACCUGAGAGGGUGAUCGGCCACACUGGAACUGAGACACGGUCCAGACUCCUACGGGAGGCAGCAGUAGGGAAUCUUCCGCAAUGGGCGAAAGCCUGACGGAGCAACGCCGCGUGAGUGAUGAAGGCCUUCGGGUUGUAAAACUCUGUCAUUCGGGACGAACCGGAGUCUGAGGAAAUGCAGACUCUCUGACGGUACCGGAGGAGGAAGCCCCGGCUAACUACGUGCCAGCAGCCGCCGUAACAC
rnacentral:rRNA from 1 species